UUGAACUAGAAACAGUUGUUAAACUGUUUGCUAGCAAUCUGCUGUUAUUACUGCUGUUGUGUAUGAAGGGCAAUGAUCAGCGAGGGACAGAGUUCAAUAAAGAGAGCUCUAGGAAAAAAGCUGUUCUGUAGUCGGCUGGUCCUGGUCCGGAGGAACCAGACGACAAAACAGUCUAUGGGCGGGAUGAGAGGAGUCCUUUAGAAUGCUGCGAGCUCGAUGCAGACAGCGUUUCUUCUGGAUGUCCUCCAUGGCUGGAAGUGGAGUCCCUGUGAUGUGCUGGGUGGUUUUCACCACCCGCUGCAAUGCCCUGCGCUCUGCAACAGAGCAGCUCCCAUUCUAGACUGUGACACAACUGGUCAGAAUGCUUUCUAUUGUGCAGCGGUAGAAGUUCACCAGGAUAUCCGAGGAAAGCUGAUUUUUCCUUAGUGUCAUCAGGAAAAAGAGGCGCUAGUGAGCCUUCUUGACCAAACUGGAGGUAUUAACACAUGUUCAGUUUAACUUGAGGAUUGGUGCAGACAACCUACAACACUAAAAAAAUGAAGUUACAUUAAAACAUUUUUCUUAAAAUCUUUGUGCUAAAAUUAAUGGAACCCUAAAAGAAAAUUGUUGGAGGUAAUCAGCCUGGAGGUCUUUUGGGAUAAAAAACAACAACAAAUCUCUCAGUUUCUGUGUUUCUUGUGUUCUCGCUGAGUGACGAUUGUGAAUAAAUAAGUCAGCUAAUGAACAUAAAAUAGCAUUAAACAUUCAAACUCAGUGUGUUACUGAAUACAAUAUCAGUUUAAAUCAACCUCAAUCAGCUCAGUGAGUACUGUUAGUAAUAUUACACACACACACACACACACACACACACACAAACACACACACACGUCUGAACAGAGAAACACUUCAUGUUAAUUUAACACUUUAUUUACAUACAGUAUGGAGUCAUGUAUAAAACCUUCACACUGUUUUAUUCAUUUCCUCAGAUAGAGAGAAAAUGGACAGAAGAUGAGAGAAAGAAAAUGGAGAAAUCUGUUCUACUGACUGAUGAGUAUGGAAGGAGAACUGAGAAAUAAAGACCAGAAAAUCUCAGAACUGGAGAAUCUGAUCAAAGAGCUCCAGGAGAAACAGACUAUCAGAGGAAAAACCAAAGCAGCUGCAGGAACUUCCUGAUUCGUCAGCCCCACAUCAGGAAAGGAUGCAGCUUGAUGUUUUGCCUCCACAAAUGAGUGAAGAGACCCAGCAGGACCGAUCAGGAGAAGCAAAAGAUUUUUGAAUCCGCCAAUGACAUUAACAUGGGAACUAAACAUGACACUGGUGCUGCUUAGGCGGAUGAGGUCUGGGAAGAAUGCAACAGGAAACACCAUCCUGGGCAGAGAGGAAAUAACUGUUCAAUUGUAGAUACGGUAUACCAUCUAAAACUUAUCCAAAAAGAUUAAUUGCUGUAAUUAGUGUAAAUAGUUUUUCAGUUUUUUUUUUGUCUUUUUUCUAAACUGUUGCUUUGUGCUUUCAUUAGUUUUUUAGAUUUUUUUCAUUAAAGGCUGUACAAUAUUUGAUGUUAAUUUUUAAAUCUUGUUUCACUGAUUAGAUUUUCUACUAUGCUACUACUCAUAGUCAUCAUGUACUUUCCCUCAAAUUUGUACUUAAAAUGUCUUGAUAAUGAUUUUGUUUGUAAUAAAUCUGACCAUUUUUCAGUUGCUCUU